rnacentral:lncRNA from 1 species
AAUUCCUCAACAAGGAUAAAGGUGCAUGAAAGCCAUUUGAUUUACAUCAUAAAUAGCAUUGAAUUUCUUAACUGGGCGAGCGUCCACUUUGUCUUUUGAGAAAGAGAAUAUCCAAAGUGUGAUUAGUCGGGAUUUCUAGAGGAAAAUUCACAACUCCUUUGUUUAUAUACAUAAUGGUGCAGAAGGAAAAGACUCUUUCCUGGCGUUUACAACAUAAUUAGAUGACAGGCCGGUCAUUGCAACAAUCGGAGUUAGAAUAAGGUCGAAGGGGGGAAAAAAAAUUAAAAAUGCAAAAAACCUAACUCUUUUCACAAAUGUACAGGUGAUUUUAACUAAAGGUGUCAUCUUUUUUCUUAGCAAAAGGUAUCAAAACAAGUAAAGAAGAUUCCAAUAUUCGAGACUAAAAAUACCUAUCAAAAAUAUAUUUCGAGGCUCAGUAAGAGGGCAAGCAACACACCCAUUGUAUUAUUUCAGUCCUUAGCUAAAUUAGCUACUAUAAGAUUAAAAGAAAGAGGAAUUACUGGUACCCGCCCCGAAAUCCAAGUACAACCAACAAAAGAAUAAGGAAUUAAACACCAUCUGUAAUUCUUUUUUCAAAAGAAAAAACGUAGAGCACCAAGAUAUUUAUUUCACAUUAGAAGAAUACCAUUGAGCCCCAAAUCAAUGGGAGAAGUCGCUAGUCUCCUUCGGCGUAUUAGGAUGGUCAGCUGUCAAAUUCCUCAGCAAACUUCAAAAGAAAAACGAGAGGACUGUCGGGUAGACGAAGCAGAUAUUUCUCUUCUUAUAUAAUUGUGUGUACUUUGUGAAGAGGUUAAGAAAAAUGACAAAAUUGGUCCAUUAUGUUCGUGUAAGUUUAAAAUAGUCCCUUAAAUAUAUUUUUGAGUAAUUUUGACCUAUUUAAGUAUGUCAAAAAUAAAUAUUUUCAUUUUUUGUCAAAUAUUUAUCAAAAUUUAACGGUUAUAUUUAACAAAAAAUUAUGAAGAAAAAAAUUUAAUUAGAAAUAUUAUGAAAGUGUCAUCAAGUCUUAGGAUCUGUAAGCCAAAAUUGCACCAAAUACCAUAACUGGACCAAAAAUAAUACUAGAAAUUACACCAUAAUCAUAAAUAUAUCAAAAAUUACCGUUAAAUCUUUUUAUUUUUACAGUUCCCAUUAAUUUUGACAACCAGAUUUGUUAAUUAUUUGACGUUGACCGAAAUUGUUCACUUGAUAAAUAUAAAGUACUAAUUAGCUUCCUCAGAUCGCACUGAAUAUAUUAUUGUUAGUGUUGCCCUGUUUUAUAUAUAUAUAUAAACGGUACUAUUUUAGACCUACCUUCAAACAUGACCAGUUUUGUUAUUUUGUCGUGGGAAUUGCAUUGCCUGCUUUUCAUUUGUUAUAAUGCUCCCCUACUAAUUUAAAUUGUAAAAACUUCCCCACCAUUCUCUGAAAUCUUAUAUAUUUUAUCACAAAAUUUUGUCACUUAAAAGAAAGGAGAAGUUUAGGAUCUACUUAUUUUUUAAGUUUACCACAUCAAGCUAUCUAUAUCUGCCUUCUAGUCCCAUACCAC